UACGUAGGGUGCAAGCGUUAAUCGGAAUUACUGGGCGUAAAGCGUGCGCAGGCGGUUUUGUAAGUCAGAUGUGAAAUCCCCGGGCUUAACCUGGGAACUGCGUUUGAAACUACAAGGCUAGAGUGUGACAGAGGGGGGUGGAAUUCCACGGUGUAGCAGUGAAAUGCGUAGAGAUGUGGAGGAAUACCAAUGGCGAAGGCAGCCCCCUGGGAUAAUAUUGACGCUCAUGCACGAAAGCGUGGGGAGCAAACAG
rnacentral:rRNA from 1 species